rnacentral:rRNA from 1 species
UACGUAGGGGGCAAGCGUUGUCCGGAUUUACUGGGCGUAAAGGGCGCGUAGGCGGCCAGCGCAAGUCAGUUGUGAAAUCUCCGGGCUUAACUCGGAACGGUCAACUGAUACUGCGCGGCUAGAGUGCGGAAGGGGCAACUGGAAUUCUCGGUGUAGCGGUGAAAUGCGUAGAUAUCGAGAGGAACACCUGCGGCGAAGGCGGGUUGCUGGGCCGACACUGACGCUGAUGCGCGAAAGCCAGGGGAGCGAACGGG